GAGACUUAGUUCAUGAUGACUCUAGGUGUGUGUCGUGUCGCGGAUGGAGUUGGUUGGACUGUGUUCGCGGAUGGAGUUUGUUGGACUGUGUGUCGCGGAUGGAGUUGGUCGGACUGUGUGUCGGUCAGAAUGUGUGUAGCGAAUGGAGCCGGUUGGACUGUGUGUCGCGCAAAUAAAGUUGGUUGGACGUUGUCGCGAAUGGGGUUGGGGGCUGUCAUCGAGAUGGAGCAUCGGUCGCAUGAAAGACUUCAAUAGGUUUUCCGGGUGUUGGGGUAAUGGCCAAACCUGGCCUAAAUCUCAGGUUCUUGACCAGGAAAAGGUUAGAAUAGAAAGCAAUUUACUCGGCGGCAAAGGCGGUUCGACCUUCAAUACAACAAUAGCUGCAAUUGUAAGCAGUAAUGAUGUCCGGCGCAGUGGCUUAGUGGUUUA